UGUUCUGUAGCUUAGUUGGUUAAAGCGCCGGUCUAGCGUACACGCAGUCGUGAGUUCGAGUCUCACUAGAACGC
rfam:Aedes aegypti strain Liverpool supercont1.145 genomic scaffold, whole genome shotgun sequence.